GAUGAACGCUGGCGGCGUGCCUAAUACAUGCAAGUCGAGCGAACAGACGAGGAGCUUGCUCCUCUGACGUUAGCGGCGGACGGGUGAGUAACACGUGGAUAACCUACCUAUAAGACUGGGAUAACUUCGGGAAACCGGAGCUAAUACCGGAUAAUAUAUUGAACCGCAUGGUUCAAUAGUGAAAGACGGUUUUGCUGUCACUUAUAGAUGGAUCCGCGCCGCAUUAGCUAGUUGGUAAGGUAACGGCUUACCAAGGCAACGAUGCGUAGCCGACCUGAGAGGGUGAACAGCCACACUGGAACUGAGACACGGUCCAGACUCCUACGGGAGGCAGCAGUAGGGAAUCUUCCGCAAUGGGCGAAAGCCUGACGGAGCAACGCCGCGUGAGUGAUGAAGGUCUUCGGAUCGUAAAACUCUGUUAUUAGGGAAGAACAAAUGUGUAAGUAACUAUGCACGUCUUGACGGUACCUAAUCAGAAAGCCACGGCUAACUACGUG
rnacentral:rRNA from 1 species